rnacentral:lncRNA from 1 species
UUUUUUUUUUUUUUCCCUUCAAUCUGCUCUCCCAGAGGCCCAAAGGAGACCCAGUGUCAUUCACUGGCUCUGGCCAGUGGCAGGUCCCUUUUGGAGCCAUCUGGAGCUGGCUCUGAUCUGACAUGGGGCAGCUGCAGGGCUCUGCCCCUGCAGCCUUCCCUGCUUCCUCCCCCCGAAGCUACCAAAACCUUGCCCCAGAAGCCCAGUACAUUGGAUCAGGAAUUAUGCUUGUUUUAUGUUGAUAUGUGAUUUUUAAUUUUUUUUUUUUCAAUAUGCAUUUUUUAUAGAGAGGACAUAAGUGGUUAUUUUCACAUCUGUGGUUUUUCUGGUAAUUCAAUUGGUCUGUGUUUUAAAAAGGAUUCAGGUUGGAAAAACAGCAAAUGCAACAAGACUGUACAUUUGAGAAGGCGUGGGUCCUGCCAUAAAGAAUAGCGAAGCGUGAAGAAUGGGUGAUUUGUCAUGGAACAUCACAGCUACCCAGUGAGCAGUCUUGAUGUGCCAAGGUGUGCAGAUGUCCUUUGGCCUCUUUUCUCUUCCUCAAAGCCAACAAAACUGGCCAAUUCUAGUCUGAAUGCCUUCUGUGAAAAUAGAACCUGAGAGUGGAGGAGAAUCUGGGACCAAAUGUUUGCUGAGGCCAUGCCAGAAAUGAAGAGAAGGGAAAAAAUAAUGAAUUCCUGAAGAGCAAGGUAAGAGUCAAGCUGGGGCAUCCUGGCUCUAAAAUACUUAAAGCAUAAGCUGCUACAGUGAGGGAUAAACCUGACAUUCCUUAGGGUACUGACAGCUGACUCUGUCUGCAUUUUGUUCUUUUCUAUCCAUGGUGGCUAAAAUCAACAUGGCAUAAAAAAGGCAGUGAAGCAGGAUCUUAAUUACUGAGUCUCUGCUGGUGAAGCUGUGUUUGUUCAUCUUACCCGGCACACUCUGUAGCAGAGUCCUCCUGCUGCCACACCUAAGAAAUGUGAACUGCCAGAAGCGCUCCUCUUUUACAUUAGCGAAGAGGAGGUUAUUGAUGUAGCUGUAUAAAACCAGAGGAGGAACAGAACAGAGAGGUGGGUGAGUCCCUCCCUUCUU